UUCUGGUACCUCCAGGAUUCCCACCAACCUCCAGCCAUGAAGAUCUUCUGUCUCCUCUCUGUUGCCGUCCUCUUCUUGAUGCUGCUGGCUCCAGAUUUCACCAGAGCCCAAGGUAAUUGCAGGACGAGAUGUCAAAGGCUGAGAGGGAUACUGCGAUUAAGGUGCCAUCCGUCCGAACGGCCAUUAUUCCUCUGUCCUCCCGGGGUGUGUUGCCGUAGAGGGGGCUGGUAACCCUGCAGAUCUCCGGCGCAAGACCUCUGGUGAAAGGAAGACCACCCUGCUCUCCUCUGAUGUGCAGCUGCCUCGACUGCACCCCCAUCUCUGCUGGGGAAGAAACCGCUUUGCUUAAUGCUGCUGAAGGCGAUGCUGGGAAGGAGUCAAGAGGGAGCCAUCCUGUCUGCCUCCCUACUCAUGAGAAAGUCACACUGUGAACAAGGAGGCCACUGUGAACAAGGAGGCCUGUGUCCUUAGUAAGUGGCCUCAGGAUUAGAGCUUGGAUUUGGUUUGCCUGCAAAAAUGCUUUAGCUUUUCCUUUUUAAUAAAUGCAAGCAUUGGAAACCUC